GAGGGUACAGCUCAGUGGCAGAGUAUGUGCUCAGCAUGCACGAGGUCCUGGGUUCGAUCCCCAGUACCUCCA
rnacentral:tRNA from 1 species